UACGUAGGGCGCAAGCGUUAUCCGGAAUUAUUGGGCGUAAAGAGCUCGUAGGCGGUUUGUCGCGUCUGCCGUGAAAGUCCGGGGCUCAACUCCGGAUCUGCGGUGGGUACGGGCAGACUAGAGUGAUGUAGGGGAGACUGGAAUUCCCGGUGUAGCGGUGAAAUGCGCAGAUAUCGGGAAGAACACCCGUGGCUAAGGCGGCUCUCUAGUACGGUACUGACGCUGAGACGCGAAAGCGUGGGGAGCGAACAGG
rnacentral:rRNA from 1 species